rnacentral:rRNA from 1 species
AUCUGGCGCCUUCGGCGUCCGAGUUGUAAUUUGUAGAGGAUGCUAUUGGGUUGCCACCGGUCUAAGUUCCUUGGAACAGGACGUCACAGAGGGUGAGAAUCCCGUAUGUGACCGGCCAGGCGCCUUCUGUAUAGCUCCUUCGACGAGUCGGGUUGUUUGGGAAUGCAGCCCUAAAUGGGAGGUAAAUUUCUUCUAAAGCUAAAUACCGGCCAGAGACCGAUAGCGCACAAGUAGAGUGAUCGAAAGAUGAAAAGCACUUUGGAAAGAGAGUUAAAAAGCACGUGAAAUUGUUGAAAGGGAAGCGCUUGCAAUCAGUCUCGACGGCGGCUGUUCGGCCUCUCUUCUGAGUGGUUUAUUCAGUCGCCGCCGGGCCAGCAUCAGUUUUGGCGGUCGGAUAAAGGCGUGGGGAAUGUAGCUCCUCCGGGAGUGUUAUAGCCCCGCGUGCAAUACGGCCCGCCGGGACUGAGGUCCGCGCUUCGGCUAGGAUGCUGGCGAAAUGGUUGUAAGCGGCCCGUCUUGAAACACGGACCAAGGAGUCUAACAUCUACGCGAGUGUUUGGGUGUCAAACCCGUGCGCGCAAUGAAAGUGAACGGAGGUGGGAACCGCAAGGUGCACCAUCGACCGAUCCUGAUGUCUUCGGAUGGAUUUGAGUAAGAGCGUAGCUGUUGGGACCCGAAAGAUGGUGAACUAUGCCUGAAUAGGGUGAAGCCAGAGGAAACUCUGGUGGAGGCUCGCAGCGGUUCUGACGUGCAAAUCGAUCGUCAAAUUGGGGUAUAGGGGCGAAAGACUAAUCGAACCAUCCACAAGACAUGCUUGCGUGUCACGCUUUAUUUUUUGUUAAGAAAGUAGCAAUCAAUCGAAAGUCUACUAGGUGGUUAGGAGGCGCCUCAAAGUGAGCGUCUAGUCCCACGGUCUGGGGCAACACUAUCAAAUUGCGGGGACGUCCUGAAGCUUUAACUACCGCAUSUAAGUCGAAAGUGCUUAGCAUCGCACCGGGCUAGCGACCCCGGGUAUGGUAAUAACGUUAGAGAUUGGAUAAUCCGCAGCGAAGCCCUAAGGGGCAGUGGCAGGCGCAAUGCUGCCACUGACCUAUGGGUAGCGUUCACAGACUAAAUGGUAGUGGGUGGAUCUCUUUAGCCGUACGAUUUGUUACGUUCUGCCUAAACGAACAAGGUACGGUAAAGAUAAGGGGUUACGCUUAAGAUAUAGUCGAUCCCACGUCGAAAGGCGUGUCUGUGGGCUAAAUCCGUUGGUAAGACACUGGCCAGUAGAGACCACGGGGGUCUUUUGCUGGCGCUGAUGGACCCGAACCCACAGAGUCUAGUGGAAAACACACCCUAGACCGGGCGAAGCAUAUCAGGAAAGAGUGGGGAGCUGGCUUAUAAUUAUUAUUAUUAUCAUCUAUUAUUAUUAUCUGAAUGUUCGCUUGGUGUAGAGC